AUAAAUCGUAAAGUAGACACAGUGAAGAUGACGUCAAAUCAGCGAUAAAUCAAACGCAUAAGCCAUAAAUGUAAACAUUUUUUUUCUGCAGCUUGAACUAAAAACAUUACAAAAAUAAUUUCCCAAUCAGUCUUGAGGUGCUAACAUAAUUAGUUAAUUGUGGGUAUCAUCUUAUAUAAUCAAAUUUCUCUUCUUUUCCGACCUAGUUUAUAAUAUUUUUCUUAAAAAUUAUUUUCACUUAUGAAAAUAUCAUAUUUUAUAUAAACAGAAGUUAUAAUAAGAAGGAAAAAAGUUUAAAAAAUCUUUACUAAAUUUUCUUGUUAAAAUUUAUUUGUGAAGCGAUUAAGCAUCUUUUUCUCACUAUUACAAUAAAAACCAAAAACCAAAAACAAAUAUUUCGGAAGAUUCACCCUACUGAUUUGCACGCACCAAAAAAUGAAUAGCUUUUGAAUAUUAAAAUUGUUUGCUGAAAUCAGACUAUGAAAAAAAACUGUUCGACAUAGGUCUCCCUAGAAUGCUCAAGGUAACAGCGGUAAAUCGUAGCUGUGUUCGUGUGGUUUUACACAAAAUUUAAAGUCUUAAAUCUUGUAAAUAUCGUAUUUUGAUGA